rnacentral:lncRNA from 1 species
GGGAGUCCUGUUGUGGUUGUAAAAGUGACAAAUUGGGAGGGGGGAGAGAGGCGCAACUGCCUAGCAGAGAUGGGUUCCGAAGAAGGGUCCAAGCUCUACAAUGGCCAAGAUCUUCCGACGCUUCCGACGAGAAAGCUGUGCCCAGAUUUCGCCUGAUGAGAACGGCUACAGCUCUACAAAAGAGAAGAGCUUCCGACGAGAAGGCCGCAAGAUUCCGACGACCAAGCUGUGACCAAGAUUUCGCCUGACGAGAAAGAUGGAAGCUCAACAAAAGAGGAGAGAGUGAGGAGUGAGCUGGAUGGAGAGAGUGAAGAGAGAGUGAGACAGAUUUGAAUGGCGAUUGGGAGCUCUGGCUUUGUGCUCAGACUGAGUAGAAUGCGAGCUUAUUUUUCUUUUUUUCGUAAAAGACUGACCUCGCAUUUGUGAAAUGCGAAGUAUCUGAACUCGCAUUUCACAAAUGCGAAGAUCACACUUUUGGAAUUAACUUCAAAAAUCACACCUCUUGUAGAAUAACUUUAUUUUUUCAUCACAACUUAAGAAUUUACUCGUGUCCCGGGGGUGCAGCCACCGGCACUGCCACUACCCGGUUAGCCAUCAGGGCGUUCAUGGUGUCAGCCAGCGACGCUGUGUACGGAACCUCUACUGAUCUUUUCUUGUCAACUAUGAGAUCUUUGACUUUCUUGUCCCCAAAACUUUGAGGCUGAGGCUCGGCACCAGUGUCCUGUGGGUUGAUCUCCGUCUUCUCCCUUGCCAGCUGCAUUGUUCUUGGGUUCUAUUCUUCUUUUCUUGCUUUUGUCCAGAUUUUAGAAACGAGUUCUUUGCUAUAACAUCACUGAAGAAGGUGCGUGGGACUGGGAUUACACAUAUAAUUGUGGAUACGGGAUUUUAUACGGGGAACAGAGGUACACGUGUUGAUGGCGGAGGGUACAUGAGCGUCCUGUGUUUGCAACGUGGUUCC